CCUACGGGAGGCAGCAGUGGGGAAUAUUGCACAAUGGGGGAAACCCUGAUGCAGCGACGCCGCGUGAGUGAAGAAGCAUCUCGGUAUGUAAAGCUCUAUCAGCAGGGAAGAAAAUGACGGUACCUGAAUAAGAAGCCCCGGCUAACUACGUGCCAGCAGCCGCGGUAAUACGUAGGGGGCAAGCGUUAUCCGGAUUUACUGGGUGUAAAGGGGGCGUAGACGGCAGCGCAAGACUGGAGUGAAAUGCCGGGGCUUAACCCCAGAACUGCUUUGGAAACUGUGCAGCUAGAGUGCAGGAGGGGUAGGCGGAAUUCCUGGUGUAGCGGUGAAAUGCGUAGAUAUCAGGAGGAACACCAGUGGCGAAGGCGGCCUACUGGACUGUAACUGACGUUGAGGCUCGAAAGCGUGGGGAGCAAACAGGAUUAGAUACCCGAGUAGUC
rnacentral:rRNA from 1 species